rfam:Nematostella vectensis strain CH2 x CH6 NEMVEscaffold_325_Cont23879, whole genome shotgun sequence.
GGCCCGAUGGUCUAGAGGUAUGAUUCUCGCUUAGGGUGCGAGAGGUCCCGGGUUCAAUUCCCGGUCGGGCCC